UUAUCAAAAGCACCUAAGCUAACAGGACAUCUUGUCAAGGAGAAGGCUUGCUUCCUUUCAAACUGAAGAGGGAGCUGAACCUCAGUCUGCAUCUCCUUAGGUGAGUAAUCUAAAUAAUAAAUUUUGGUUAGCGGUUCA
rnacentral:lncRNA from 1 species